rnacentral:rRNA from 1 species
AGUGAACGCUGGCGGUAGGCCUAACACAUGCAAGUCGAACGGCAGCACAGUAAGAGCUUGCUCUUACGGGUGGCGAGUGGCGGACGGGUGAGGAAUACAUCGGAAUCUACUUUUUCGUGGGGGAUAACGUAGGGAAACCUACGCUAAUACCGCAUACGACCUACGGGUGAAAGCAGGGGAUCUUCGGACCUUGCGCGAUUGAAUGAGCCGAUGUCGGAUUAGCUAGUUGGCGGGGUAAAGGCCCACCAAGGCGACGAUCCGUAGCUGGUCUGAGAGGAUGAUCGCCCACACUGGAGCUGGGACACGGUCCAGACUCCUGCGGGAGGCAGCAGUGGGGAAUAGUGGACAAUGGGCGCAAGCCUGAUCCAGCCAUACCGCGUGGGUGAAGAAGGCCUUCGGGUUGUAAAGCCCUUUUGUUGGGAAAGAAAAGCAGCAGGUUGAUACCCCGCUGUUCUGACGGUACCCAAAGAAGAAGCACCGGCUAACUUCGUG